CAUGCGGAUUAAUUCGAUGCAACGCGAAGAACCUUACCAAGGCUUGACAUACACCGGAACGUCCAGAGAUGGGCGCCCCGCAAGGUCGGUGUACAGGUGGUGCAUGGUUGUCGUCAGCUCGUGUCGUGAGAUGUUGGGUUAGUCCCGCAACGAGCGCAACCCUUGUCCUGUGUUGCCAGCGGGUUAUGCCGGGGACUCAUGGGAGACUGCCGGGGUCAACUCGGAGGAAGGUGGGGAUGACGUCAAAUCAUCAUGCCCCUUAUGUCUUGGGCUUCACGCAUGCUACAAUGGCCGGUACAAAGGGCGGCGAUGCCGUAAGGUGGAGCGAAUCCCAAAAAGCCGGUCUCAGUUCGGAUUGGGGUCUGCAACUCGACCCCAUGAAGUCGGAGUCGCUAGUAAUCGCAGAUCAGCAACGCUGCGGUGAAUACGUUCUCGGGCCUUGUACACACCGCCCGUCACGUCACGAAAGUCGGUAACACCCGAAGCCGGUGGCCCAACCCUUGUGGGGGGAGCCGUCGAAGGUGGGACUGGCGAUUGGGACGAAGUCGUAACAAGGUAGCCGUACCGGAAGGUGCGGCUGGAUCACCUCCUUU
rnacentral:ncRNA from 1 species